UACAGAGGGUGCGAGCGUUGUCCGGAGUCACUGGGCGUAAAGGGCGCGUAGGUGGUGGCUUAAGCGUGCGGUGAAAGCUCGGGGCUCAACCCCGAGUCGGCCGUGCGAACUGGGCUCACUGGAGCAUAGUAGAGGCAGGUGGAAUUCCGGGUGUAGCGGUGGAAUGCGUAGAGAUCCGGAAGAACACCGGUGGCGAAGGCGGCCUGCUGGGCUAUGGCUGACACUGAGGCGCGACAGCGUGGGGAGCAAACAGG
rnacentral:rRNA from 1 species